rnacentral:rRNA from 1 species
GACGAACGCUGGCGGCGUGCUUAACACAUGCAAGUCGAACGCUGAAGCUCAGCUUUUGUUGGGUGGAUGAGUGGCGAACGGGUGAGUAACACGUGAGUAACCUGCCCCCUUCUUUGGGAUAACGCCCGGAAACGGGUGCUAAUACUGGAUAUUCACUGGUCUUCGCAUGGGGGUUGUUGGAAAGGGUGUUUCUGGUGGGGGAUGGGCUCGCGGCCUAUCAGCUUGUUGGUGGUGUGAUGGCCUAACAAGGCUUUGACGGGUAGCCGGCCUGAGCGGGUGACCGGUAACAUUGGGACGGAGAUACGGCCCAGACUACUACGCGGGGGAGAAGUGGGGAAUAUUGCAGAAUGGGCGCAGGAGUGAUGCAGCGACGGUGAGUGAGGGAUGGAGGCCUUCGGGUUGUGAAACUCUUUCGGUAAUGGUGAAGACGCAACAAUGGUUGUGGUGAGGGUAGUGGGUAAAGAAGCGCCGGCUAACUACGUG